ACGGUACAUCCAGAUUGAGGCCAUGGUUGAUCCUGCCAAGGAUUCUUUCAGAUGCUUAUAUGCAUAUCAGUAUAUGUUCUUGUUGUUCAUCAGGUGGUGACAGAGGAUUCAGCAGAAGCAUUUGGACGGUGAAGGAGUACGUAGCCGGCGGCGAGUCACCCUACAUCACCUUCUACUACCGUAGCUUCGACGGAGAGCAAGGUACAAGCAGUACAACCGCAGCUAGAUAGAAACGUAGAUUGCAGUCCAAAUUGACUAGAUUUUGGACGGCAUUCUGAACCGUUUUGCCUCUUCGAAUGAGUAGGUUUGCCGGGGAACGUGGACGCGUACGUGACGUACCGUAUGUCGGGGCCCUACACGCUGGGCGUGCACAUGAACGCGACGGCGCUGGACAAGGCGACGCCGGUAAACUUCCUGCUGCACGUGUACUGGAACCUGCGCGGCGAGGGGAACGGCGACGUGCUGGGCCACACGCUCCGGCUGCACGCGUCGCGGUACGCCGUGCUGGAUGAUGAGCUCCUCCCGUCGUCGGGGCGCAUCGAGCCCGUGGCCGGCACGCCGCUGGACUUCCGGACGCCGACGCCGAUCGGCUCGCGCAUCCGCCAGGUCGUCGUCAUGGGCGGCCGCGCCGUCGGGUACGACACCAACUACAUCGUCGACGGCGGGGAAGGGAUGAUGCGGCCCGUGGCGCAGGUCCGGGACCCCGCGUCCGGCAGGGCGUUGGAGCUGUGGGCAAACCAGCCGACCAUGCAGCUCUACACGGGGAACUUUCUCAACCACACCAAGGGAAAGCGCGGCAAGGUGUACGACAGGUACGCUGGGUUCUGCCUGGAGACGAUGGGGUACGUGGACGCCGUGAACCACCCUGAGUUUCCGUCUCAGACACUCAGGCCCGGCCAGGUGUACAAGCACGAUAUGGUCUACAAGUUCUCGUUCUAGGUGAUGCACGAUGUAAAACACAGUUCACCAUUGGUAUUUGGAGGGCAAUCAAUAAUAAUAUUUGGAUCACAAGCAGAGCCGGCCCUAUGGGAGGGGCAGCAGGUGCGCCGGCCAUGGGCCCUUGCAGCUUGGGGGCCUAAAUAUGUAUAGUACUAGUAUAUCUCUAUUCUCUGUAUAUGUAUUGAGUUACAGGUAACGAGCAGCCGCAACGCCUGUCGCAAAGAGCCAGAGACACGGACUCGCGGUGUCUCGCCAAAUUCCCGAUUGACGGCACUGCACGCAGACGUAGGCACGCAGCCAUUGCUCUGGCCACAAACCUGCAGUCAUCGAGGCCUCGAGGGACUUCAAACAAAUCAGCCAAUCAGGCAAUCACCAAUCAGAUCUUUAUUGAAUAUUGAUUUGAUUCAGUUUCAUAUUUUCAGUUUAUAUGAUCAUGCCAAAUUUUAUAUGCCCUAGUUUUUUUUCUUGUUCAAUUUUUGUCUAUUACUUUGCACAGGUACUCAUGUAGUCAUAUUUUUAUUUUAAUUUAGGUAAAGUGUUAGAAUUUGAGAAUGUUACCUAAAAAAUAUGAGUUGGGGGCUGCGAAGAAGAACACUUUCGGCAGUCACAACAAGGUGCUUUAGAUAAGUUUUUUUCAGUUUCAAGUAGCGCUGUGCCUGAGCGUGAUGAGAACCUUAUAGAUGCACCUGAGAAUCAAGAAGAGACUAUGUCACAAGAAAGGUUAAAUGGUUUGGCUAUGUGCACCAUCGAAAGGGAUAUCUUGGACACUAUUGAUCUUAAUACCGUUCUCGAUGAUUUUGCAUCAAGAAAUGUCCGAAGAAAUUUAUUUAUAUAAAAAGCAAUGAAUAUGACGAAAUUCUAUUUUUUCUCAAGGUAAUCAUAUUAGUUCUAAAAGUACAAAUAUAUUGCUUUUUAAUCUACAUUGUUUCUCGCUAUUGAUAAUUAUCAGACAUAUUAAUUUUAAAUAUUGAUUUCCCUUUAUAAACAAAAAUAGCCUAUAUAUUAUAGACUAGAGAGGCCAUCGCGACGAGCUCGCCAGAGGGCCCUCGAAAUCGUAGGGCCGGCGCUGAUCACAAGACAAGAGAUGAAUCUUCGGUGUUUUCAAAUAGAGUAGCCAAAUUCGUGCUCUCAGCAUCAACGAUGGAUGGAUGACUUUUCUUCUCGCUAAGAGUUGACAAAUCAGAUUUUUCCAUAAGUCGUCAGAGAGAUGAGAUUAGAAAAGACAAAGCUGACUGAAGGCAACCCAUUUGAGUACUGAAUUGGGCGUUUUCCCAAAAUUAUAUUCCACCCAUCCGAUUGUUUAGAAUUAGAAGUAACGCCAAUAUUAAGGCGAUUAAAAACUGAUUUGCGUGGUAAAAGAGUUUAACCAUUCCUGGGUCCACCAACAAGUGAAUUGCUCACCGGAAUAGCGUUUGCUCCGGUGAGAGGGAUUCUUCUUAUUAUUUCCCACCGUGGUCCAUUUUUAGCUUCGUCAUGCUGCCAGCCACGAAAUUCUAACAUAUAAUUUGCUCUCCCACCAUGCCACAAAUUAAAAUAGAACUUGAAAAGCAAGCACUCAAAAUAACACAACUUAUAGAUAUAAAAAACAACUGUUUGCGAAGAAACCAAGAAACGAAAGACUCGAUCACCAAGAGGCAGAAUAUAAAAAUUCUCAGCGAUACCACCAAUCACUGAUUGCAGAAGGGCAGCUGCUAUGGACUUUGUCAAACAGAACUUGUAGCUGCCAAAGGAAGGGACCAAGAAGAAUUCAUGAGAGGAGAGUGCAGGAUCGAAAUUGACCAGAUGACCAAACUGUCAAUGGAUCUCGGCUUCCACCACUUUCCUAGGCCUAUUGUUGAGGCCAAGAUGAUCCAUGAUGGCCAGAUCGACACCUCAACGAUGAUCAUCAUGGUGAAGAAGGGGAGGGAGUGGUGAAGUCGCCAAGGUCACCAUCAGUGUGGCACCAUAUUGACUCCCGGUUCGACAAAACUUCAAACAACUUGUGUGUGAGCUCCGCAGAGGCCACCUCUUCCAGCUCCAGCUCUGACUCCGGCAAAAUUCUAGUGGGUAGUAGCGAUCUCCCUCGGGGCUCUAUCGAGAACUGGAUGCCAUGACCAGAGUGGUUUGCGGCGGUUUGGUGAUGGUCACUAGGACCAAAGGGUCUGUUUGAUACACUGGCUCGAGGGCCUAGGUGCACUCCUAGGGUGCAACUCCCGUGUUUGCUGUCUUGAGCCCACUCAUGGACCUGGCCUCGGGAUGCAAAUUUCACUCUCUCUCUCUCUCUCUCGUGGCUCCUGUAAAAGGAAUGGACUUUCAUUUUUUCUAGGCUAGGUCGGCUGAAGCGCUCAGAGUGUGAUGGAGUCACCUCCCAACUCGUCCUCUCACCCAGUGCUCCGUUGUCUCCCUACCUCUCAACUCCCAUAUCCGCGCCCCUACUCGACUUCUCCUCCUAGCGUGCCCCUACCAUCCGAGGCACUGCUCCCCAAUGACACGCUCCUCCAAAUCGAUGACUUCUCCAACGGCGAUGCGUUGCACAUCUCUUCUCCUUGGCCAUGGGCUGGGUCGAGCUCCCGUCGUUCCUCGCGCGCGCGGCGGCGGUAUGCCACCGACAUGAUCCUCCUCAAUAGGCGUGUGCUCAUCCUCGGCGGUGCGGUGCUAGCACUGAUGUUCUUCCCGUUCCUGGAUGAGACGACGAAGCUUGACAUCGAGAAUAACCUGUACCUGUUCCUCCACCUCCCCCUAACGACACCAUCUUCGUCUUUGCCAAUGACUGUGCCAUCGUCCUGAUCCCUACAACCGUGCCCCACUCUAGCGCCUCCCCACCGUGGCCAUCGACCGGACCUGUGCCUGCAGCUCCUCCAACUACGAGCUGCCGCUGCUAGCACCAGCAGGCAGCCGUAGCAUGCAGUUCUGCUAGUGCUUGGCGGCAUUCUUGCUCCUGCCCACCAUGUGUUUGAUGAAAUACCAAGGAAGGGAAGUUUUUAGGGUUAAUGUAAGUGCAAGGUCAUGGUAUCUCUCUGUUCAACCAUACAAACACAAUAUAAACUGGGCUCGACUCUACUGGAACACAACACCAAACACCUGCAAUUGCACCAUGGGAACCAAGCUUCGGCCGCAGCCAAGCUAAGCCAGUCGGGUAGGAAGAAGGAGGUGUUUGGUUAGAGUUGUUAAAGUUUAACAAGUGCUGUAGUAUUUUCGUUUUAUUUGACAAUUAGUAUCCAAUCAUGGACUAAUUAGGCUCAAAAGAUUCGUCUCGCAAAUUACUCUUUAACUAUGUUUUUUGUUUCGUAAAUAAUCUAUAUUUAGUACUCCAUACAUGUGUCCAAACAUUCGAUGUGACGGACGAUAAAUUUUAACUCGUGAAACCAAACAGGGGCUAAGAUAUCAAACACGCCCGGAGUGGCCACCGGUGCAAGCUGUGAGGCAGGGUCUCAGCGGGGGAAGGGCAUCUCAGCGACCGGAGAGACCCGCAGGCGCUGCAGGCGCUUGGUGGUGACCGCCGAGGCCAGGAUGGCCGAUGGCGCUAGCUCAGAGGUGGAGCCUCAGCAGGGGUGGCCACUCGUGUUAUCAGCGGUGGCUUGUUGACCAUUUGACAGCCCAUAUUGAGUACCGAGAGAGUUGGCUGUUGUUCUAGUUUUGCGUUUGUCUGUGCAGCUUUUCCCGAGCUUCAUACGGCGAAACCGACCACCGCGCCGCUUUCACCGGUGGCCCGUUGCUGGCCUCGCCGCCCCCAUCGACGCCGUGCGCCGGCAACGGCCGCGCCGCUCAUGUCAUGGACUCAUGGUGACGGCACCAGCCAGUACCACAGUUCUACCUUGGCUCACAGCCGGGGGCUACAAAGACGACCGAUGAUGGAUCGAUGGGGUCACGGGGCGCUAUCGGACGUGGACGUGGAAACUCUGGGGAAGGAACACAACCGGCAGAGUGCGCGUGCAUGGUGAUGGUGGCCCAGCCCAACCAUUCGACUAGUAGCCUACUACACAUGCGGAGAGGAGCGACCGCUUCAAGCCCGUCGUCCAAACCAUUGGCAUCGCCCAACUGAAAGCCGGCUAUAUUUGGCGAUCGGUGUCCAUCACUCGCGGCGGCAGAGCUCGGCAGCCACAUGCACAUGCCUGCAACUGCACUGCAACUCCUCCCCAGUGUGCUGACCUGCUCCCAGUGUUUAUGCUAGCCAUCGCUGGCCGCCACGUGCCCACGCCAAUGGCGAGGCGUGAGCUGUUCCUCGCGCUGCUGUGGCUCGCGGCCUUGGCGCUGGCCACCGGCCCCGCUGACGCGACGAGGAAGAUGGUCGGGGCGUACGAGCUCAGGAAGGGGGAUUUCUCCGUCAGGCUCACCAACUGGGGCGCCAGAGUCAUGUCCGUCGUCCUCCCAGACUGCAAAGGUCCUCCUGUCGUCGCGUCCUUUGUGUUCCUUCCUUUGGUACCAAGGUUUGAUUUGAGGCGUCUCUUUCUGCAGGGAAUUUGGCUGAUGUCGUCCUUGGCAGAGACACCAUCGCUGAAUACGUCGUAAGAUGCCCAAAAACCACUCUGAAUGUUCUUUUUUCUUUGUAUGUACUGUUCCUCCAUCUUUCUUCAGCAGUAUGCCCUGCUGCAUUUGCCGUCCGUUCGAUGAAUGGAUAUGGGCGAGAACAAUGCACGGUGCAGGCACACACACAGCCAAUCUGUUCUAGCUGCAGUCCAAUAAGUUUACUACAUCAAGUAAAUGCCAAAACUUGAUCCUUAAUCAGCAUGACCUAAUGCACUCGGUGCAGACAUGUUUGCUGUAAUUGUUUCUUCUGUGUUAUAUUAUAUCCAAUAUGGCAAUAUCCUGAUUCAGAGUUCAUCUCUGCAACUUGCUCUGUCUGACCAGAACGAUACCGAGUACUUCGGGCCGAUAACGGGCCGCAUAGCACAAAGAGUAGCCCGCGGCCGGUUCGUCCUCGACGGCAAAGUCUACCAGAUGUACAGGAAUGCCGGCAGGAACACGAUUCACGGUACAUCCAGAUAGAGGCCAUGACUGAUACUGACAUACUGUAAAUUCUACACACUACGUCCAAUGGAUUACGUAUUUCAGAUGCUGAUGCAUAUCAUUGUACGUUGCUGUUGUUCAUCGAUCAGGUGGUGACAGAGGGUUCAGCAGAAGCAUUUGGACGGUGAAGGAGUACGUCGGCGGCGGCGAGUCACCCUACAUCACCUUCUACUACCGUAGCUUCGACGGAGAGCAAGGUUUGCCGGGGAACGUGGACGCGUACGUGACGUACCGUAUGUCGGGGCCGUACACGCUGGGCGUGCACAUGAACGCGACGGCGCUGGACAAGGCGACGCCGGUGAACCUCCUGCUGCACGUGUACUGGAACCUGCGCGGGGAGGGCAGCGGCCGCGACGUGCUGGGCCACACGCUCCGGCUGCACGCGUCGCGGCACGCCGUGCUGGACGACGAGCUCCUCCCUUCGUCGGGGCGCAUCGAGCCCGUCGCCGGCACGCCGCUGGACUUCCGGACGCCCACGCCCAUCGGCUCGCGCAUCUGCCAGGUCGUCGUCAUGGGCGGCCGCGCCGUCGGGUACGACGCCAACUACAUCAUCGACGGCGGCGGGGAAGGGAUGCUGCUGCCCGUGGCGCAGGUCCGGGACCCCGCGUCCGGCAGGGCGCUGGAGCUGUGGGCGAACCAGCCGACCAUGCAGCUCUACACGGGGAACUCCCUGAACCACACCGCGGGCAAGCGCGGCAAGGUGUACGACAGGUACGCGGGGUUCUGCCUGGAGACGAUGGGGUACGUGGACGCCGUGAACCACCCCGAGUUCCCGUCGCAGACACUCAGGCCCGGCCAGGUGUACAAGCACGAUAUGGUCUAUAAGUUCUCCUUCUAGGUGAUGAUGAUUCGACGUUUGGUGUGCUGUGCACAGGCACGAUGUAAAAUCAGUUCACCAUUGGCAUGUGGAGAGCAAUCAAUAAUCUUUGGAUAACACAAGAGAUUCCUUCGUCGGUGUUUUCAAAGAGAUUAGUAGCCGAAUUCGUGCUCUCAGAGUCUCAGGUCUGCAUCAACGAUGGAGGGGUGACUAGGGGUGACUUUUCUUCUUGGUAAGAGUUGACAAAUCAGACUUCCAUGAGUAAGCAGAGAGAGGAGAUUAGAAAAGACAAGCAGAUUGUAAAUAAAUCUAUAAACAACUGCAACACGACACCAACAAGUUCAGCUAGAAAAAAGAUUAUGGUUGGCCAUACAUAACGGUGUAGUAUGUGUGUUUAUAGCAAACUCUAUAUGGUUCUGCUAUUAGAUUUGGAUGUUAGAUAAUGUGGUCAGUAUGCUCUUAGGCUUAUUCCCUUGCACAUUAGGGUGACUUCAAAUUACAUAGCUUUCUAAUUAAGGAGUGCCCUUCAUUAAGAAAAAAAUCCUUGCUAAGUAUUACACAUCCUAAAGAAAAUCAAGUUUCUUUAGUCCUAUAAGGUGCGUAAGAUAAAGAAAUGGAAGGAGUACAAACUUAGAGUAAUGAUACUAUAUAUUGGAUAAGAUAUAACAAUUUAUAUGACAUUAUAUUUUUUAACAAAAGAAUGACAUGAUAAAAUGCAUUGGGAGUAGCUUAUAAACUCAUGAUAAGAUUAUUUUUUAGUGGGUGGGUGGGUGGGGUUGGAGUGGAGAGCGUUUGGGGAGGUUGGGAGGAAUGUGGUUCAAUAAGAAUUUGUUUCCUCCCUAGACCUGGCAAUAGAAGAUGUGGUGAUACUAGUGAGACAAGAGGGUGAGCUGGGGUCACCUUCGAGAGACGAGGUAUAUAUAUUAGGUGACGUGUUACAUGUUUGGUUAACGAUGGCAUCAUUGGAAAUGGGUUGUUGCAAAUGAAGCCGAAUCCAAGUAUGCACGAUAAACCACCAACAAGUCAUUCACAUGCUAGCUGACCAUUCUUUUUUGAGGAAAAUUGUGGAGCAUUGCUCCCUAGGCCGCAUAUAUAUAUAAAAACAAACACAAGUGCAAAAUUACAGGGGUGUUAGCCAAGUGCUAACCAGAAGGGAAGGAAGGAAAAAAGACUCACCUAACCUACCUAGCAGAGAAGGCAGAGGUGAGGAGGAUUGAACAAGGCCGACUAGCAAGAACAGCUAUUACAAAGAGUUUGACCAAUUCAUAAUUACAUUUUGUAAAUUUGGAGGUACUCUAGUUACAAAGAGCUUAAUUCACAUCUUUGUGAGAGUGUUAUGUCCUUAGUUUAAGAUCUUGAGUUUUGGGCUUUGUGCCCUUGUAAUCUUGGUAAGGUGGAGCAGUUCAAAUUUUGGUGACUCUAUGGUGACGUCAACCCUCCAAGCUUGGUGUCGAACGGCAGCAGCUCCAUAGUGAAAAGUGCCAAAGUGGCCAAGAGUGUUGAAUGACACCACAGUGGUGGUUGGCCUUAGUGGUUUGCGAUACUUGCUUUGGUUAUAACUUUAGAUUAUUUUCAUAGUAAUAGAGGUGCAUGAUUUUCUUAUGAACAAAACAGAUUGAAUAACAACUUCUUAGUCUACUAAAUUGGCAACCAUACCCUUGAAGAUUAAAUAAAGUGAGGCUAGAAGAGAAGUAUCUAGUUGAGAAUUGAGUGUAGUUCAUUUGGUCAUGCUCUUAUAGUGGAACCUACUAAACUAGGCCUGAGUCUUUGGCUCAAAACAUUUUCCAACAUUUUUUUUACUCAUUUUUUUAUAUAGUAUAAAUACACUCACAAAUGUACACGUGUACUUAACACUUGUUCUACUAGUAGACAAUGUGGCCGUUAACAGUUGAGGCACCGAUGUGACUUUGUCGAUCCCAAGAUUUAUUAACACAAUCUCUCAUAAAUGCUCAUAGAAAUUAUGUUGGCGUGCCUGAGUUGAUAAGAGUGCGUGUAGACGAUCAUCCACAUUUGAAUAUAUUUCACAAAGUUAAUUCAAAUGUGCGUGUAGACGAUCAUCCACAUUUGCCUGAGUAAUUUUUUUUUCUAGCAUACCCUCUGAGGUACACAAGACUUGAAAAAGUCUUGGUUGACUUCUACGUAGUGAACAAUGGCAGGCAGCCAGGCAUUGACACAGCCCGGACAAUCUAAAACGAAGCCGGCCGGGCAUGCAGGCCGAUUGGCAAUGGCACACCACACACGCGUACUAGCUGGCCCAGCCCACAACUUUGACCAAGACCUAGCACAGAAAAUAAAAAAUAUAUAGAAAUAGAAAAAACAAAAAGAAAAUAGAUUUAAAGCUGUCCAGACCACUCAAGCGCAGCUGUACCUACACAUUUGUAUCGAAAAAAAUGGAUGAAGAUGUACUCUGUAGGGACCCCGUGAGGAUGUAUUAUAGGUAUUCACGUCCGAGAGAGGUCACAUAUAGAUUUGUGUAACUUUUUUUUGGUUGUGUUCCUCCUAAGACCAUGUUCGGUUAUCCAGGAUUAGAGCUUGGAACCAUUCCAAUUUAUCAACGUUAUAUAAAUUUAGUGAAUCAUUUCAAUUGGAACCGAAUGAGCCCUACAUAAAUGCAUUUAUAUAAUAUAUAUAUAGUCCCAGGCUUUUUUUUUUUGUUUUGAAAGUAAUAGUCCCAGGCGUUAAGCUCGUGGUCCUCAUGGGUACGUGACACCGGACCAGCGCCCUUUGUGUCUUGUCGGCUCACCUGCUACGGCAACUCUUCAUAUGCUGGGACUGGGAGCCACCGGGAGCCCAACUUCUGCUCCUGUGCGCUACAUUUUGGAGCUACAGGUGUGGAGUGUGGACUAUGAAGCCGGAGCUGGGAGGAGGCCGGCCGGACGCGCCUAUAUGUAGGCGAUUGCCUUGGCAGUAGCCAACGACCGACGUACGCGACAGUCGUACACCCCUCCUCUCUUGGGCUCUUCCUUCCUGGCAAUCUGUCGCAGCAAGCAACAAGCUACAGCGUCCAUUAGUUGGCCCGGCAAUGGCUAGGGCUCAGCGCCUUGCUGCGCUGCUGUGCCUCGCGGUCGCGGCCUCCCUGCUGUCCCUGGGCGCACAGGCCACCACCGGCCCCCGCGCGAGGGUCGGCGUGUACGAGCUCAAGCUGGGGGAUUUCUCCGUCAAGGUCACCAACUGGGGUGCCAGAUUAAUGUCCGUCGUCCUUCCCGACUCCAAAGGUUCGUCAGUUCAAUCCUCUCUUAGCCUUCCUGCUGUCGCCUCUCCGCCUUGAUGUGGUCCUCGCCCUCGCCCUCGCCUCUUGUCGCUGCAAUUCUCUCUUCGGUUGCCAGCACACAGGCUAAAGUUCAAGCUCGUACGUGGUUUUGCAGGGAAUUUGGCUGAUGUCGUCCUGGGCAGAGACACCCUCGCUGAAUACUUUGUAAGAUCAGCAGAAGCGCUCCUCAAUUUCUUUUCUUGCUAAUCCGUGAUCUUUCGUCUGCAUAGCGUGUGUAUUGCAUUUAGUUUGCGUCUAAUUUUCUUCUUCAUUUUCAUACUAGCUGGUUCAAUUCGUCUACGAAUUCCACUUCUCUAGAUUGACAGAUUUUGUUGCAGUCAGUCGCUCUCCAAACAUAGUAACUUCAUCUGUUUGCCAACUGAUUACAACUCAAUCAUUCUACUCUCGAUCUCUUUCCUAAAGUUUUACAAGCCCGAGCACCACGGUCAAGGAUUUGGAAAUCAAGCAUGAGCUACUAGAAUAUUAGGCCACCAACCAAACUUUUUAGAAAAGAAAACAGAAAAGGCAACUAGCUACAAGCUGGCAAGCUUUGGGAUGGAAAAAAUGAUUAUCACAUUGUGAUUUGUGCUGUACAGGAUGGCCCUCCAUCGUGAUCUUCCCCUAAUUAAAAACUGACAAAGAUCGUGCAGAUAUUCAAGAUCAUCCUUUACUUUUUUUGAAAAAAAAUAUACUCGAGAUCAUGCAAGCAUUGGCGGACGCACGAGGGGGGCUGGGGUGGCUGCAGCCCCCCUCUUGGGCUGAAUUUUUUUUUUGACAUAUUUUUUUUAGCAAAAGACUCCAUAUAUUUGGCAUUUUUCUAUGCUUAUUUUAUGAAUCUUUGCCUUUGAACACUUUGAAUCAAUAUUGAAUUAUCAAUCUUAGCUAUAUCUAUUAGGUCUUGUUUAGUUCUCAAAAUAUUUUGCAAAUUUUCUCAGAUAUCCCAUCACAUAUAAUCUUGUGGCACAUACAUGGAGCACUAAAUAUAGAUAAAAGAAAUAACUAAUUACACAGUCUACCUGUAAUUUGCGAGAUGAAUCUUUUGAGCCUAGUUAGUCUAUAAUCGGACAAUAUUUGUCAAAUACAAACGAAAAUGCUACUAUCCUAUUUUGCAAAAAAAUUUGGAACUAAACAAGGCCUUAGUGUACUGGAUUGAGCGAGAAAAAAAUUUUAGCAUGUAUUACUUAGCCCCCCUCUUGGUCCAUUUCUGGAUCCGCCACUGCAUGCAAGUGUCAGAUAUGCAUCAUAUGAAUGGCACGCUGCUGAUUGCUUGUUGCAGACACCAGCUAAUCUCAAGUUUUUCUCUGCUGAAUCUUUGUUCUUACCACGCAGAACGACACUUCUUACUUCGGGCCGAUAACCGGGCGCGUGGCACAACGCAUAUCAAGGGGCCGAUUCGUCCUCGACGGCAAAGUCUACCACCUGCAACUAAACGACGGCAACAACACGAUUCACGGUACGGUCGCCUACACCCAUAGCCAUAAGAUUGCUCUGCUCCAAAACAAUCCCAAGAUCAAUUGUUGAGUCACGUUAUUCGUAAGGAUGGGGAUAGUGCUCAAAAUAGAUAUUCACGAUUGUUCUCUAGUCUAACUUAUAAUAAACUAAAUAGAUAAUUUUUUUCUUAUUUUUUUAUUUAAUUCGUUAAGUUAGAUUAGAGAAAAACUAUGGGUAUUUAUUUGAAGCACCAUCCCAUCCUUUCGGUCGGUCCCUUGGCCUUGAGUGACACCUUUAUUCAUGACCUUGACCAAUUCAUUUUGUUCGUUCGCUCAUCAGGUGGUGGCACAGCGUUCAGCAAAAGCGCCUGGACGGUGAAGGAGUACGUCUGCGGCGGCGACUCCCCGUACAUCACCUUGUACUACCACAGCUUCGACGGAGAGCAAGGUUUCCCGGGGAGCCUCGACGCGUACGUGACGUACCGGGUGACGAGCCCGUACACGCUGGGGGUGCACAUGAACGCGACGGCGCGGGACAAGGCGACGCCGGUGAACCUGCUGCUGCACGCGUACUGGAACCUGGGCGGGGAGGGCAGCGGCCGCGACGUCCUGGGCCACACGCUCCGGCUGCACGCGUCGCGGCACGCCGUGCUGGACGCGGAGCUGCUCCCUUCGUCGGGGCGCGUCGCGCCCGUCGCCG
rnacentral:lncRNA from 1 species